AUGGUUCAUUCAAAUUUCUGCCCUAUCAACUUUCGAUGGUAGGAUAGAGGCCUACCAUGGGUGUUCAACGGGUAACGGAGAAUUAGGGUUCGAUUCCGGAGAGGGAGCCUGAGAAACGGUACCAAUCUAAGGAAGGCAGCAGGCCGCGCAAAUUACCCAAGUCCCUGUAUCUCCAGGGAGGUAGUGACAAUAAAUAACAAUCCAGGACUUUGUCUUGGAAUUGGAAUGAGUACAAUUUAAAUCCCUUAACGAGGAACAAUUGGAGGGCAAGUCUGGUGCCAGCAGCCGCGGUAAUUCCAGCUCCAAUAGCGUAUAUCAAAGUUGUUGCA
rnacentral:rRNA from 1 species